rnacentral:rRNA from 1 species
AACUUAAUGAAUUGACGGGACCCGCACAAGCAGCGGAGCGUGUGGUUUAAUUCGUUGCUACACGAAGAACCUUACCUGGGUUUGACAUAUAGGUUGUAGGGAGCUGAAAAGGGACCGACCUUCGGGGAGCCUAUACAGGUGUUGCAUGGCUGUCGUCAGCUCGUGUCGUGAGAUGUUCGGUUAAGUCCGCUAACGAGCGCAACCCUCGUCGUAUGUUAUAUGUGUCAUACGAGACUGCCGGUAAAAAGCCGGAGGAAGGUGAGGAUGAUGUCAAGUCAGCAUGACCUUUAUAUCCAGGGCUACACACACGCUACAAUGGUCUGUACAAUGGGUAACCAAGCCGCGAGGCGGAGCCAAUCCUGAAAGCAGGCCUCAGUUCAGAUUGCAGUCUGCAACUCGACUGCAUGAAGCCGGAGUUGCUAGUAACCGCAGGUCAGCAAUACUGCGGUGAAUACGUUCCCGGGUCUU